GACGAACGCUGGCGGCGUGCUUAACACAUGCAAGUCGAACGGAAAGGCCCUGCUUUUGUGGGGUGCUCGAGUGGCGAACGGGUGAGUAACACGUGAGUAACCUGCCCUUGACUUUGGGAUAACUUCAGGAAACUGGGGCUAAUACCGGAUAGGAGCUCCUGCUGCAUGGUGGGGUUGGAAAGUGUCGGCGGUUGGGGAUGGACUCGCGGCUUAUCAGCUUGUUGGUGGGGUAGUGGCUUACCAAGGCUUUGACGGGUAGCCGGCCUGAGAGGGUGACCGGCCACAUUGGGACUGAGAUACGGCCCAGACUCCUACGGGAGGCAGCAGUGGGGAAUAUUGCACAAUGGGCGGAAGCCUGAUGCAGCAACGCCGCGUGCGGGAUGACGGCCUUCGGGUUGUAAACCGCUUUCGCCUGUGACGAAGCGUGAGUGACGGUAAUGGGUAAAGAAGCACCGGCUAACUACGUG
rnacentral:rRNA from 1 species